AACGUAGGGCGCGAGCGUUGUCCGGAUUUAUUGGGCGUAAAGAGCUCGUAGGCGGCUUGUUGCGUCGGCUGUGAAAACCCAUGGCUCAACCGUGGGCUUGCAGCCGAUACGGGCAGGCUAGAGUUCGGUAGGGGAUACUGGAAUUCCUGGUGUAGCGGUGAAAUGCGCAGAUAUCGGGAGGAACACCUAUGGCGAAGGCAGCUCGCUGGGACGUUACUGACGCUGAGACGCGAAAGCGUGGGGAGCAAACAGG
rnacentral:rRNA from 1 species